GCAAUGCUGACGAGUUCCAAACAGGACGAAACAGCUGUCCAAUGC
rnacentral:hammerhead_ribozyme from 1 species